CACAUUUUCAACGUUUGUUGGCUGACAGGAAGUGUUGGAACGGUGAAUGGGUCAUCCACUUUUAUAACACAGAAGAAAUUUCCACACACAUAAAAGAAACUUUGCAUGGAACAAUGGAAGAAUCAUGAAAUGAUAAUUAAUUAAUGGUCAACCCUUGACUUAGCAUGCAAUACUCCGUUGUAAGUCAAGUAACUACUUUUUACAAAAUAAAAAACCUAAAACGCGUCUUAGACAUCGCGUUAUAUAUAUAAGUAGUUGUAUGGGGACGAAGGAGCCAAACUUGUAUAUCAAUCAGCAAUAUGGUUCACAAGGCUAGCGUUGUUUACAUGAUUCCCAUCAUUAUAUUGUUAUUGUUCUCAUCCGAAGUAGUCUUUGCCAAUGUUUCUGAAAAUUCAAAACAUAAUGAUGUAGAGACGAUGGUCAGUAAGUCGCGUCUGCAAAUGGAGAUUAUUAAGGCAAUGAAAGUACGCGUACCAAUACCACAAAAGCCAUCUGGAGGCGGGUUACCAUAAACUAAGUAGUAAUUUGGUUUGUUUUUAUGUUGGGAUAAUUUAUAAGGUACUUUUUGUAAUUUCGAAAGUUCUGGCAAGAUGUAAUCUUUUGGAUUAAAGUCGUUUGCAAUUUGUAAUCCUCUUUAUUUUGUGUCUAUGAAUAAGAAUCAUAGUUUAUAAUUAA